rnacentral:rRNA from 1 species
AUGGAGUUUUUGGAUAAGUUCGUCGUGGUGUUCAUUGAUGAUAUUUUAAUCUUUUCCAAGGAUGAAGAAGAGCAUGAGGAGCAUUUACGAUUGGUGCUUGAGAAGCUCAGAGAACAUCAAUUAUAUGCCAAGUUCAGCAAAUGUGAGUUUUGGUUGAAGGAAGUUGUAUUCCUUGGACAUGUUAUUUCUGGAGAAGGAAUAGCAGUAGACCCUGCCAAGGUUGACACAGUGACAAGUUGGGAAUCACCCACGACAGUUGGAGAAAUCCGGAGUUUCCUUGGACUUGCAGGAUACUAUCGGAGAUUUAUCGAGAAUUUCUCAAAGAUUGCUAAGCCCAUGACUGAGCUAUUGAAGAAGGACACCAAAUUCAAUUGGACUGAGGAAUGUGAAGCUAGUUUCCAAGAGUUGAAGAAACGAUUGGUUACCUCACUAGUGUUGAUUCUGCCCGAUCAACGCAAGGAUUAUGAAGUUUAUUGCGACGCUUCUUGUCGAGGACUUGGAGCAGUGCUUAUGCAGGAAGGAAGAGUUGUGUCGUAUGCUUCACGACAACUUAAACCCCAUGAGAAGAAUUAUGCUACACAUGAUUUGGAAUUAGCAGCCGUGGUGCAUGCAUUGAAAACAUGGAGACAUUUUCUCAUCGGAAACCAUUGUGAGGUGUACACGGAUCACAAGAGUUUGAAGUAUAUUUUCACGCAGAAGGAGUUAAAUCUCAGACAGAGGAGAUGGUUGGAGCUCAUUAAAGAUUAUGAUAUGAGAUUGCAUUAUCACCCUGGAAAGGCUAACGUAGUAGCAGACGCGUUGAGCCGCAAGAGUCAUGUUAACACCCUCAUGACAGGAGAGUUACCUCAGGAGUUAACCAAGGACCUUCGCGAGCUAUGUUUGGAGAUAGUCCCUAGAGGCUAUUUAGCGACAUUGGAGAAUCAGUCUACCUUGAUGGAAAGGAUCAGAGAAGCUUAG